AUUGAACGCUGGCGGUAUGCUUAACACAUGCAAGUCGAACGGUAACAGGCCUUCGGGCGCUGACGAGUGGCGGACGGUGAGUAACGCGUAGGAAUCUGCCUCAUAGUGGGGACAACGUGGGGAAACUCACGCUAAUACCGCAUACGCCCUACGGGGAAAGCGGGGAUCUUCGGACCUCGCGCUAUGAGAUGAGCCUGCGUUAGAUUAGCUAGUUGGUAGGGUAAAGGCCUACCAAGGCGACGAUCUAUAGCUGGUCUGAGAGGACGAUCAGCCACACUGGGACUGAGACACGGCCCAGACUCCUACGGGAGGCAGCAGUGGGGAAUAUUGGACAAUGGGCGCAAGCCUGAUCCAGCAAUACCGCGUGUGUGAAGAAGGCCUUAGGGUUGUAAAGCACUUUCAAUUGGGAGGAAAACCUGCCGGUCAAUACCCGGUAGCUUGACAUUACCUUUAGAAGAAGCACCGGCUAAACUCCGUGCCAGCAGCCGCGGUAA
rnacentral:rRNA from 1 species